rnacentral:sRNA from 1 species
GCCGGGUGUGGUGGUGAAUACCUAUAAUCCCAGCUGCUUGGGAGGCUGAGAUGGGAGGAUAGCUAAUUCAAAGCCAACUACAGCAAUGGUAAGGCCCUUAGCAACUCAGUGAGACCCUGUCUCUA